AUUGAACGCUGGCGGCAGGCCUAACACAUGCAAGUCGAGCGGAUGAAGGGAGCUUGCUCCUGGAUUCAGCGGCGGACGGGUGAGUAAUGCCUAGGAAUCUGCCUGGUAGUGGGGGAUAACGUCCGGAAACGGGCGCUAAUACCGCAUACGUCCUGAGGGAGAAAGUGGGGGAUCUUCGGACCUCACGCUAUCAGAUGAGCCUAGGUCGGAUUAGCUAGUUGGUGGGGUAAAGGCCUACCAAGGCGACGAUCCGUAACUGGUCUGAGAGGAUGAUCAGUCACCCUGGAACCGAGACACCGGCCCGACUCCCACGGGAAGCCACCGUGGGGAAUAUUUGACCAUGGGCCGAAGCCUGGUCCCGCCCUGCCGGGUGUUUUAAAGAGGUCUUCCGGUUGUUAAGCACUUUAAGUUGGGAGGAAGGGCAGUAAGUUAAUACCUUGCUGUUUUGACGUUACCAACAGAAUAAGCACCGGCUAACUUCGUG
rnacentral:rRNA from 1 species